rnacentral:rRNA from 1 species
CGCAGGGUGCGAGCGUUAAUCGGAAUUACUGGGCGUAAAGCGUGCGCAGGCGGUUUUGUAAGACAGAUGUGAAAUCCCCGGGCUCAACCUGGGACCUGCAUUUGUGACUGCAAGGCUAGAGUACGGUAGAGGGGGAUGGAAUUCCGCGUGUAGCAGUGAAACGCGUAGAUAUGCGGAGGAACACCGAUGGCGAAGGCAAUCCCCUGGACCUGUACUGACGCUCAUGCACGAAAGCGUGGGGAGCAAACAGGAUUAGAUACCCUGGUAGUCCACGCCCUAAACGAUGUCAACUGGUUGUUGGGUCUUUACUGACUCAGUAACGAAGCUAACGCGUGAAGUUGACCGCCUGGGGAGUACGGCCGCAAGGUUG